rnacentral:lncRNA from 1 species
CGGGUCCCAAAACACGUGGUCUAAAGUCUUUUGGGCUCCUGCCGCUGCCAGCACUGACGAUAUGCUCUUGACCCUGGUCGGGUGGGGGGAUGUCUGGAUACCUCCUCUGUGGAAAGAACUGGCCACACAUCCGCAGAGGUGACUCGGGCUGAGAACCCAGGCUCCUCCUCCCUUUGGUGACACGCCCCUCGGUCCCUCACUGGCACUUCUCCCUCCGGCCACACGGCGGCGUCUCGCCGUAGCGCAGCGGCCGAUGGUACAGCCCGCUCCCCCCUCGCGCUCUCGGACAGUGGGUCCUUCCACUUGUAGAAAAGCAUUGUGGGACGGAAACCUGUCCUUUCUUCCCUUUGGUGCGAGCUUGGUGUGGUUUUUGCUCUGGGUCCUCAGGUAUGGCGCCUGGCUGUGGCCGCGUGGUCUCUCACGCAGGGGCGCCGGGCGGGGGAACGCGGCCACCCUGAGUCUGGUGAGUCGACUGCAGCGGCCUGUGUCCGAAGUGUCCGGGGCCGUGAACAAGGGCAGCGGCCUGGCCUCAGGCCUGCGUCCCCACGUUUGGAAACGGGGAGCUUCGUGGAUUUGUGUUUACAUCGUCGACUAUGCCAGGGAGUUCUCCAGAUAAGCCUGGUUUUAUUUUCGUCAGUGAAAAGGCCUUACCGUAUAACUGACUUUAUGCUUGCCCUGCCCCCGUGUAAAAUAACUUAAAAGCAGCGUGCCUGGUUACAGCUGUUUCCACGUGCGGUGCUCGUCGGGAGUGAUCACCUACCCUACAGGUGGAAGAUGGAUGCCUGAAGUGUAGACUGCUGCUAGCUGAAUACCAUCUGGGAGCAUAAAGAUGACCUGAAGGUACGGUGAUGUCUUAAAGCACUUUGUAAUGGGAAUUUUUAUCACCUUUUAAACUGGGGUUCCUUCUCUAGUGAGUUUUAAUGUUAGUGGUACAUUCGUAGUGUUGCUCUGUCUGUAGCUAUUAAGGUGAGUUAAUAAAUGGGACAGCCUCCACAGCUUAUUUUUGGGAAGGUUUUGCUGAUACUUCCUGAGAAGCCCAGGGAAAUAAAUACGCAUAGUACUGGCAUUCUGCAUCUCUUUAAGAUUUGUUUUUAUGUGUAGUAAUUGAGUUUUUUUAAAGCUUGUGAAAUCGCAGGCAUAUUACCAAAUUCUUGAUUAAAAUGUAAUACAAAAAUAUUUGCUGUCGAAUUGAGUACUUUAUUUUUUCUCUUAGGAUGUCCUUGGUGAGGAUUUUGAAAAUUUGAUCUUCACAAGAGUUGCUUGGAUCAUUUGAAAUUUCUGGGAGUCUGAGGAGUACUGACAUAAUUGCCUGCUGGAGUCUGUAAAUACACAUUUAAGACAGUGAGGAUGUGAAUAAAUAUAUUA